CUCCUUUUUUGCCGAGCGCUCUCUUUCCCCUUUUUCUCUCCCUCGUGCUCUCCUUUCCUCGCCGCCGCCACUCCAUCCUAGCCGCCUCCUCUCCUCGUCGAACCAGCCGCCUCCUCCCCAUCUUCACGCGCAGCCUCCUCUCCCUCAAGCCCCGCCUCCUUCCCACCCUGGCUUCGCCUCUUCGGGGGGCGGGACGCAGUGGCUGUGGUGAUGGCAGAUGGGGCGACAACGGCGGCGCUCCUCCUCUCCCAUGGCGGUCGGCGGCACUCUGGCCAUGGAGGCCUGCUCCUCAUGCUCCUCUGAUAUGCCUCUUCGCCCCUGCCGAGGACGGCGGUGAGGGGCAAAGGGGCGCUGUCGUUCUCCCCCCUCAGCGCGUGCGUCAGAGACGGACAAGGAAGCCGAGCAGUCCGUCAUGCCGUCGACGCCGUCCUCUCCUACCAAGGUCUGGAUUCUCCUCCCCCUUCCCUCAUGGCGGCGCCUGGAUCCUCCUCCCUCUUCGCUUCCAUGGCGGCACCCGGACCUGCCGCAUCUUCCUCAUCGUCAGUCCGAGGGAGAGGAGUGGCAGCAGCCAUACACGCCUCGUCCGUGUCGCGUGGUGUCCCAGAUGCGUCCGCCCCGUGCUCUGCCGAUGCCUGUCUCACCCGUCUACGGCCGAAGGAGGGGAGGACUAGAUGCCAACCGAUCUGGAGGAAGAAGCGGACACCCGGACGAAAUCGACGGCGAGAUGCUUGGUGACAUCCCUGGAUAGGCUUCGUGGUGGAGGGCGCUUCGUGGUGGAGGGCACGGCCUCCGCUGCCGGGUGCAUUAUGAGGCACUCGAGGGGUAGGGUCGCUUGCAGCGCAGGUGCCCGUCGUGUGUCCCAGCGGGGCACUUGAUGCAGCUGCAGCAGGCCGGCAAGUUUGGCUGAUUUCAACACUCAAGGUAAAUUAUCAUAACCAUGGAAUGACACAUACUGAUCUCAGCCUGGAGAAUGUUCAUGUAAGGGCCAGUACACAAGCAUGUCUACUUUGCCAUAUGGAUGGUGGAUUUAGAGGACAAAUUUAUGCACCAGCUUUGAGUUCCAUGAUGUUGCGCCGACUAUGUGGAACCCAAUGAUUCAUAGUGAUGUAUUUUCUUCUUCGAGAGAGAGGACUGUGCAAUCAGAAGUACAAUAUGUGAUCAUCAAGUGUAAGAGAUGGCAAGAAUAUGUGGGUACAGAUGCGGCGGCGACAACGUCGACUUCGGUGAGAUGGCUGGUGGACCAAGGACCAAUCCUGCAUUUGCUUUAUAAUAUGAAGUAAUGUCGAUGUGUGAUGUUAACAUCAUGGUUAUCUACAGAUGUAUGGGUACGCUCCGUUUAUGGUCGUCUCUAUAACGUGUGGAGUAUCGAGACCUGUUUACGGAGGUGUGUACACGAUUGGAGGCCACGACGAGGGAUACUUUUAACUGACAUGGAUGACCGCAUGAUCUUCGGAUUGGUCUUCCUACGCUUUAGGCGUUAUACAGACUCUUUGAUUAAGUGUAUUUCGCCUUUUUCUGUUGUUGUUUUUUUUGGAACGUGGACUUGGUUAUGGCUAUGUGCAUCUCAAUUAUGCAGAGGCCGGGUGUAAUGCUUAAGUAUUUUAAGUAAUAAAGCACCUUUUAUCAAAAAAAUAGUCAUAUUUGUUUUUGUUUAUCCAUAUACAACAUCAUGUCUGAGUUCAUCAUCUUCUGAUACUGGAAGAGGAAGCACUAUAAGUUAUAAAGCAAGAAAGUAAAACAUGGAUUUCAUUUACUUGAGAGAAGAUCUGGCCAUGAUAUACUGCUACGUGCCAGACUAAAAGUUCAACAAAUGAUCACGAGCUUAGUGUCUGCCGUUUAUGAUGCCUAUUUUGGAGAUACUGUGUCCUGUUUUUGGAAAAAUAUUUUGUUCAACUGCAUACUAAUACAGGAAGUUUUCCCAUUCUUUUUUCCUUUUCCAUUUGGGUAAGGCCUAUAUAUAUAGUGUUACCUUAGUGGCAAAUUUGUAUGGUAUUUUUAUUGCUUCUUUGCUGGAUCACGGAUCACAUUCAGAAUAUCAAUUUGUAGCCUAGCUUCAAACACUUGCUUACAAUGUCUUUCUCUUUGUGACCAGUCCGCCGUGAUGGAAAACGUUAAUAUUCCAACAAAAGUGCUUCCGGAUGCUACGAUGAGAGAGCUUGGCCUUCCAAGCGCAGCUUACUCAACACACAAGGCAAGGACCUCGAGGCAAGUGUUUAAUUCUAUCCAUUGAGUACCAGCUAAAUAAUGAACUUGCAAAGACAUUAAUAUCCAUCUAUGUCUAUGAAACUGGAUGAGUCUGAAGAUUGGCUGGCAGACGAACCUCUUAAAUACAUGGAAGCCUCUUACAACAAAGUGCUGCAAGACAUCAACUAUGAUAAGUUGCAGUUGGUUCAACAAAAAGUAAAUCUCUGGAACACGAGCUGAAAGAAAAAGAUGGAAUCAUAGACUAUCUGAGCAGCAGCUGGUGGAUGAUGUCUAUGGAAGGCAUUUCUGCUUUUGCCAAUUACAACCCGCCGAAACACACCCACCAUGAAGAGCAGCUUAGAUGAUGAGGUCAUUUUCGACACGGCUGGUACAGGCUCUACCUGAUCUAAAUACUGCAUAUCUUAGUUACCAUAAGCUAGGUGACCAAAGCUAUCUAUAUGAUGCAUGUCUGUCUAUCAGCUAAUCUCAUCCCUUUCUUUUGGCCUAUGUUCUUAUUUGACAAAGCUGAAGGAAGCACGUCCAGAUUAGUUCUCUGGAUGGUGAGGUUAGAUUAAUUGACCACUAUUUCUAUUUAACUUCUCCUGUACACAAUAUUCACAAGUUCAUGUAUUAAGUACAUUUUAUUGUGUCACUUGUGUUUACUCCUUUUUUAAUGCAAGUUUACAGCUACUCGGAGUUCCUAAUUGCAGACUCAACUAUCUUGACCUACCGAUGAUCUAAUUUGUGGCAUUAAUUAUUACCUUAAGAAAAUAUUUGCAUUUAAUUUCACUUAUAUAUAGGGGUAUAAGUUCUUACCAAAUGUACUCAAAUAUACAAUUACUGAAAAAAUGCAAAUAUUUUCAACACGAACAUGGUUUUAAACGGGUCUUUGCGCCAUUUGGCGCAACUGGUCAUCUAGUAGAGCAAACCAUCCAGGGUCCCUUCGGUGCAGUAAUCAUCUCUGAAUAGGUGAGUACAGCUUCAGCUUCAGCUGCAUGCUAGGUGUUUGUUGUUUGCUUUAGCAGUGCUUUGGUUGCUGCAAAUCUAGCAAGUUGCCUGACAGCUCCAUAUCUCAUCGUCUGCAUGAUCUUCAGCAUCGCAUGUGACAGCCAUUCCUGGUAUCUCCAUUGCAUUUUCCUAUGGGCCAACCAGUUGGUAACCAUCAGGGCCAGAAUGGCAUCAGGUCCAUCUCUAUGGAGCUGUCACUAGUUCAUGUCACUAUUUUUGUUUUCUGGUGGCUUUUGUUCAUGGACUGCAGUAAUGUAAGUUGCAGCGCAGGGCUCACUUUGUUAGUACCUGAAGUUUACUUGUAUUGUCCAUGACAGUGACUUAAUGAUGAGGGCAUCUCAGUACCUCAUGUUGUUCCCAUGAAGGAGGAGGUGAAGCCCAACUUCAGGACUCCUCCAAGUUAGAGGUGUGCCAAAGGGGGUGACCGAACCAUGUACUUGGUCGGUUCUAGUUUUAUCUAUUUUUAUUUCCAAGUCUUGUUAUGGGCCACUUAGGAUUUUUAUUUUGUGUAUUUCGGUGUGGGCCUGUCCAACCGAUUAGUUUUCUAGAUGCCUAUAUAAGGAGGCUAGUGGCUAGGUUUAGAGGGGGUGAAAUUUUUAGAUUGAGUUUUGAACAUUGUGUCCACGUGGUGAAUCAUCCCUCCGGGGACGGCGCUGCUAUUUAUCAAAUAAAGUGAUGAUUGCAUGAA